UGGGGGAAUUUUGGACAAUGGGCGAAAGCCUGAUCCAGCAAUGCCGCGUGUGUGAAGAAGGCCUUCGGGUUGUAAAGCACUUUUGUCCGGAAAGAAAUCCUUGGCUCUAAUACAGUCGGGGGAUGACGGUACCGGAAGAAUAAGCACCGGCUAACUACGUGCCAGCAGCCGCGGUAAUACGUAGGGUGCAAGCGUUAAUCGGAAUUACUGGGCGUAAAGCGUGCGCAGGCGGUUUGCUAAGACCGAUGUGAAAUCCCCGGGCUCAACCUGGGAACUGCAUUGGUGACUGGCAGGCUAGAGUAUGGCAGAGGGGGGUAGAAUUCCACGUGUAGCAGUGAAAUGCGUAGAGAUGUGGAGGAAUACCGAUGGCGAAGGCAGCCCCCUGGGCCAAUACUGACGCUCAUGCACGAAAGCGUGGGGAGCAAACAGGAUUAGAUACCCUGGUAGUCCACGCCCUAAACGAUGUCAACUAGUUGUUGGGGAUUCAUUUCCUUAGUAACGUAGCUAACGCGUGAAGUUGACCGCCUGGGGAGUACGGUCGCAAGAUUAAAACUCAAAUGAAUUGACGGGGUCAUAGCUGUUUCCU
rnacentral:rRNA from 1 species